AUCGCUUCUCCAACCUUUUGGCUAAGAUCAAGUGUAGUAUCUGUUCUUAUCAGUUUUAAUAUCUGAUACGUCCUCUAUCCGAAGGACAAUAUAUUUAAAUGGAUAGUUGGGAGCUCAGGAGUCGGAAGAGGAGCUUGCUUCGUUCUGCUUCGCGCAUUGACCCAGUAUUACAGUACCUUCCGGGAAUGGUGCGCACACA